rnacentral:lncRNA from 1 species
GUCAUCAGAAAGUAGAAAAUCUUACCCCGUAUAACUGCAAAUCUGACAUUCCUUUUGAGUUGUUUAACCAGCACUCAAGCCACAUGCAACACACUGAUCAGAUUUCAUAUUCAAAUCCCAAAUCCUCCCUUUAUCUCCAUUCACCAACCAGACAUCUCAAAACCGAUAAGUCGCCGGAAAAAUCUAGAACUUAGCCAAAAACCGAUACUUGAACGGCACAAAGACAGCAGUAGAACCCUAAUUUGAUGCUCGGAAAGACAAAUCUCGGAGUUUCUGGAUAGAGAGAGAAAGAGAACAAACAGCU